GCUUAUAUGGUGUAGUGUGCACAUAAGGUUUUCAUUCUUAAGGGGGAAUUUAUUUUCUGUAAGCU
rnacentral:tRNA from 1 species